UGAAGAAGCUGUUAAAGCGGCUGAAACUUACCAACCCUAGAUGAGAUGAGAACUUCAAUGAUUCAUUUCGAUGAUCUCUCUGUUCUCCACUCUUCGUCCGAUCCCGAUCUCGAUCUCUUGCUCCGAUCCAAGUAAAUAUGAAAUUUCCAUCAGUCUUUCUUCUCCUCCCUUGAUCUCUCACCGAUCUGAGUUUGGGUUUUGUUCUAAUCACCUGAAAGAUGACUUACUUGUUUGAUGAUAUUGCAUGGAUCAUGGGUCAAAGAAGAGUUUGGUACCCAACCCAGAAAGAAGAUGACAAAACAGGGCAGCAGGGAGAAGGAAGGCCAGUAACCUAAUAAUAGUUUACACUUGAAGAAGAAGAAGGAGAUAUAUACAGAACAGAUUAGUUUACAUUGGGUCAGAUUUCGUUUCUCCAUUUCAAAAUCUUAUCCUUUCUCCUUCUUGUAUGUUAUGUUUGUCAAAACAAACUAUUAUUAUACAUGUUUCAUUUUGUUAUAUAUCCAUCCAAUUUAGCUUA